rnacentral:lncRNA from 13 species
CAUUUUUUAAGUGUGCGUCUACAUUAAGAAUGACUUUGUGCCCAUUUCUCAAUGUUGAACCCUGUUCUGUGCUGAUUGUUUGAAAAUGCUUUUUCAAGAAAGAUCACGGUUCCAAGGUCUGCGGGUGCCACGGUUUUGAAUUUACUGAAAUCACGGAUUGGAGACUUGGAAGAGCCCCCAGGUGCAUGCGGCAGACCACUUCACUGCAGAGGAGGGAUGUGUGCAGAGUCAUCUGCUUGGGUUUUUGUUUGUGG